GAGUCAUUAUUUCCUUUGUCUCCUGCUACUGCUUACAGCUGCAAGUUUGUCCUCUUGUUUGGGACAUAGAUUAGAAGCUGCUUGUGGUCUGUGCCUAGGUGCUUGGUUGAGGCUUUGGCUCUCAAGGGAGAUGUGACCUUUAUUAUAAUUAAUCGCAGUGCUCUCUGACCAAUUAAAAAACAACUUUCAGAGCCAGAGUGGUGAAACGUUGGGUAAGGAUCAGGGAGACCCAGGUUAAAAUCUCCACUCAGUCAUGAUAUUUACUGGGUUACCACUCCCAGCGUAACCUAUUUCUCAGUGUUGUGAGGAACACUGAAGGGACAAAAAGAAGAAGUGGGAUACUUGUUUCCAUCUGCAGGAUACACUCAAGAGAUAUCAUUGGGUUGAAAGCUAUAAACUGCUUGCUCUUGAAAACCCCGGCAAGUAAGAAUCCAGACUGUGCCUGUUUUCCACCUCCUCCAUUUACAGUGGUACCUUGGUUCUCAAACUUAAUCCAUUCUGGAAGUCUGUUCUAAAACCAAAGCGUUCCAAAACCAAGGCACACUUUCCCAUAGAAAGUAAUGCAAAAUGGAUUAAUCCAUUCCAAACUUUUAAAAACAACCCCUAAAACAGCAAGUUAACAUGAAUUCUACUACCUAAUGAGACCAUUGAGCCAUAAAAUGAAAGCAAUAAACAAUGUACUGCAGUCACACAAUCAAUCAAUCAGUAGCUGAACUGGGUUCCACACACUCACAAAAACAAAACAAAAAGAGCCACAAAAAUGCAAAAUAAAUAGCAAAAACAGACAGACCUCAGUGUAACACUCAAAACAGAAGUGUGGCACUCAAAAUGGAGCAUGUUCGGCUUCCAAAAAAAGCUUGCAAACCGAAACACUUACUUCUGGGUUUGCAGUGUUUGGGUUCCAAGUUGUUUGUGAACCAAGGUACCACUGUACAUUUAUUUUACACUUUCUAAAAAGCUUCGUAGUUUUAUUGUGAGUUUUUAUAACAUAAAUUAUCCCUGCUCAACAAGAGUGGACCUACAGGUGUCAGCACUUAUGGUUCAGUUCUAUGUGUGAUUCAACACUGCAUAACACUUUACUUGGACCCCUUCUGAGUUUGAUAGGGCUGGUUCAUAAGCAAGUGAGACUAAAAAGUACUCCACUGUGAGUCUUGCAUCAGAGUCAUUUCAGAGCCAUGGGUGACAUUAGUGAGGAUAGCUGCCGUGUAUUGAGGCAGAUUAUUGAUCCAUCUAGCUGAGUACUUUCUAUGCUGACUGGUAGCAGCUUUCCAGGAUUUCAGAUGGGGACAUUCCCAUUCCCACUUGGAGAUGCUAGUAAUUGAACCUGGGGCCUUCUGCAUGCCAAGCAGAUGCUCUCCUACUGAGCUACAUCCCUUUAUUCCAGCCUUCAUUGCUCUCAAUAAAGGACCAGCUUAAAUAGGGACAUAGGGAGCUGCUUAUACUAAGCAUGGCCAUUGGUCUGUGUAGCUCAGUACUGUCUACACUGACUGGUAGCAGUUUCCCAAGAUUUCAGACAGGAGACAUUCCCAGACCUAUCUGGAGAUGCUGGGGGUAGAACCAGGAACCUCCUGCAUACAAUGAGAUAAGAUGCCUUGGAUGAGGGUGAGGCAACAUCCUUUCGAAGGAGAGGUGGUCUUGCCAAAUUCUCAAGUUCUGCGGAAUUUCACUUCCUAUUAAGAAAUGGUUGUUUUAGUUAUCAGCUAGAUGGAAAGUCAUAUGCUUUAAUAAUCAACUUUCCCCCCACAGAAUCAGAGAAUUGUAGAGUCUGAAGGGACCCCAAGGGUCAUCUAGUUCAACCCCUUGCAAUGUAAGAAUCUCAGCUAGAUCACAUCUGACAGAAGGCCAUUCAACCUCUGCUAAAAAACCUCCAAGAAAGGACAGUCUACUACAUCCCCCAGGGAAUCUGAUCCACUGUCAAACAGCUCUUACUGUCAGAAAGUUCUUCCUGAUGUAUAGUCGGAAUCUCCUUUCUUGUAACUUGAUGUCCGGAAAAGGAAAGUGAAAUCGGAGCAGAAAGCUGGGUAGGCACUGACCGUGGUGCAAGGCUCUCUCCACAGCUUUCUGCUUGUCACACUUCCUGGAAUGUUUUGGGGCCUUUGUUAAGAGAGGCGGUGCAUGAAGAAGGUGCAGCUGACAGGAAGCACAGGAAAGAGCCUUGUACACACUUCCCAGAAUGCCUUGGGAGCAUCAUGAUGCAUCAUCACUUGCAUUCCAAGAAGUGCAGCUUGCAGAAAGCUGCGGAAGGAGGCACCCACUUUUGUGAGUGGUGUGGGGCUUUUCUUUUUAAGUUUUAAAAGCAAGGGGGGAAAUGGAAACCCCUUUGAGCACUUCAUGGUAAGGCAAAGAGCAAACUGCUCCUGCAAAUUUUGGAGAAAUUUCUUUCCUUGCAUGUUACUUUUCAGGAAGGCUUGUUUUGCCUCCACCAAUCUGAAUUUUCAAAGUUUUCAACCCAGCUCUGUGAUAAAUCAGAGUGCCUUUUUUACAUCUAAAACGAGGAACUCUGGUUUAAUGUCAAUUUGUUAAUCAGGAUCUUAAUGUUUGGUUUGUUCCUGCUUUAACAUCCUGGAUAGUUAGCUGACACAAAACUGGAGUUCCCCAUUUUGGACAUAAUGGAGGGACUCUGGUUUAAUCAGUCAAGGCCUGAAGUGCUUAAGUCAGCAUGUAAAGCGAGGAGAUAUAGGGAAGGUUUAGCUCAGCCUUUCCCAGCCUGGGGUCCUCCAGAUGUUUUGGGCUACUACUCCUAGUCAGCAUAGCCAAUAGUUAGGAUGAUGGGAGUUUUAGUAAAACACAUCUGGGGAGCACCAAUUUGAAGCUAGUUUUGCUAGGUGGCAUCAUGACAUCUGAACCAUCAAGAAUUCUGUCAUGGUGCCAGUAUGCUUUUAAAAUCGAUUUUAUUUAAACCAGAAAUAGGAAAACUGUGGCCCUCCAGAUGUUACUGGCUUACAACUCCCAUCACCCCUGAGCAUUAGCCAUGCUGUCUGCAGCUAUGAGUUGGAGUCCAACAACAUUUGGAGGGACACAGGCUCCCCAUCCCUGGUUUUCUUUUUUUUUGGGGGGGUGACAUUAGGAAGGUCAGAAACUCAAUAGCAGAACAGAAUUCAUUUCAACAUAUUCUGUUGCUUCACCUUCCAUUGUGAUACUUGACGAAUGGCAAUGGUAAUGGGUGCUUUCUUUGUAUAUUCCUUUUUUUUUACAAAAUUAACAAAUACGUUCUGUUUUUUCUGCAUAUUUCUAGAUUGCAUUUAACUUACUUCAAAAGGCAUGGGAAAUUUUUGCAUUGUUACAUACAUGCAUGAUAAUGAAACCCUUUAGAAACCAAACUAUCAGUUAAGAUGGCACAUUCUUCUGUUGUUGUUUUUCUGCUGUUAACUGGUGUUUUAGUUUGUAAGGCCCAUCAGCUUUACAUGUGGGCAGGCUCCGCCCAUAAUUCAUUCUGCAAAUGAUCACUCUCAUUUUCUGCACUCUGCCGUCUGUCUUGGUGCUGUCUUGAAAACCCCUUGAGCACCUUGGCUGGGCUUCUCUGUAUGUGCAGAAGGCAAGCGUGCUGCCUACUGGGUGCCUGGCUAAAGUUUCUUUUUUAAGUGAAGUGUACUUUUGCCAUCUCUCCUCCUUCCCCUGGUGAUUCCAGUGAAUUCUGCUCCCUCUUUCCCAGCCCACAGACAAGGCAGAGAAUUUCAGGAGACCAUUUGUGCACAGCCCUUGUAACAACAGCAACCUAUCCCAUUUUUAAAUAUGGGGGUGGGGGUGAGACUUUUGUUUCCUUAUAGUUUAGACCCAACUUUUAAUCUGCUAGACCUUCACACCAAAGAUAAAGGAAAGAGUCAUUCUGAGGGCUCUUGUCUCCUUAAUUUUCACAGUAGGUUCCUAGAAACUUACUGCUCACAGGUGGCUCUGCAAUUGUGACACAUUGGGAAAAUUGAGUCUUCAAUGGGACUUUGAUUCAUACUUCCACCUGUGUGCCUUGAUGGCCAGGUUAGUGCUCUGGGCUGCAAUACAAAACAUGACAAUCCCGGCUGCUUAGUCCUAGCCCCUGAUUGCCUUCCUUGCUGUUUCAUUUAUCAGGCAUGUGCUUCUUUUAUUCUGUGCCUUUCUCUAUGAUAACAAGAGGGACAAAAUAGACAAAGGCUCUGCAGUCCUAACUUCUCUUACUUUGCAGUAAGUCCUGUUGAAUUCAAUAGGACCUACUUAUGAGCAGACAUGGCUAAGCUUGCAGUUAGUGAAACAGGCACACCCUUCCACACCUCCAAACAAUCCACGAGAGCCUUGGCAACUUAUUAUGCAUGUGGUGCCACCAAUGUGCAUGGGGUUUUCAGAGCUCAAGGGAACAGACCUCCUUCACCAAGGAGCUUGCAAUCUGGAAUUUUCCAUGUGGGGAACAAGAAAGCAGAGGGGAAAGGGGAGGGAGGGAUAAACAGGAAAGCAAUAUGCUGUCUCUUACACUUGGUUACAGGCUGUUCCACUUGCUGUCUCUUACACUUGGUUACAGGCUGGGUUGUAGUAGGACAGGGUUGGGGAAUCUGUAGACACUACCAACUUCCACCAUCCCUGGCCUUUGACCAUGCUGGCAUGAACUGAUGAGCACUGGAAUCCAACAAUCAUCGAAGAGCCACAGUAGGGGCGGACCUUGGGAAUAUGCCGCCCUGUGCAAGGCCAACAUUUGAAACCCUUCCCCCAGUCCUCGCAGCACCAGCUUAAGCCAGGUAAACAAGGUGCUGGUCUUUGGGAAGGAGGUGCAAGGCUCUGGCAGGAUCCUAGAGCCCUUAUGGUUCUAUUCCAAAGCCCAGUAAGCACUUGCAAAACUUUGGGACGAAGGCAAGAAGACUCUAGGACCCUGUCAGAGCCCUCAUGCCUCCUUCCCAAAGCUGGGUAAGCACUUAACAGGCUUUGAGAAGUGCACCCCAGUGCACCCAAACUGCUCACACUGCCCUAAAUCCACCUCUGGACUUAUCCGUCUCACAACAAAGGCAUUGUGGCCAAGGAAGAGCAAUUUCACCGCCACCCUCCCCUAUGCUCACAUUACAUGUGAAAGGUCCUUGGCCAUACUGGCUGGAACUGAUAGGUGUUGGAGUCAAGCAACAUCUGGAGGGCCACACUUCUCCUACUCUGUAGCAGGAGCUGACAACUAGGGGGCCCUGCCAAGGCCUUCACUGGAAAGAUAGGAUUUGAAGGUGGAUUUGAAGUGCAUAAGAGAGGUGCUGCUGUUCAGGGAUCCAGUUUUAAGCAAAUGGGGCAGCAAGGGUGGAAGGGUGGAGUCUUUGAGAGAGCAGAUGGUGGAGACUGGUGGAACCAGAGCAGAUGGUUGAGACUGGUGGAACAGAGAAGCAAAGAUCAUGGACAGGGAUGCCUCCGAAUAUAAGAAAUGCUAUGGUCCCUUGUACACAGUCUUUCCUCCAUCCAUGUGGUGUUUUGCAUACUGUAGUCUGCUUGACUUGUUCAGGCUUUACCCUGAAAGGCAAAUGAGCUUCAAGCUUUGCACCUCCUGCUGAAAAUAGGGCAAGGGGGCAAUCAGCCAUUAAAAGCAGAACACAUUUUAGGAAUUUGUAUUGGUUCGUGUGGGAGACACAGUUUCUGGACAGAGGGCAUUUGUGAAUGGAGGAAUCUGUACUGAGAUAAUGUAAGCUUUCACCCACAUUCCUACACAGCCCAUGCAGAUAAAGAAAAGAGAAAACCCAGAUAUGCAUUUCUAACUGAAUCUCAGGGAGCCGUUAUUUUCUAAAAUUUAGCAACCCUAUUCCCAACAGUAUUCAUUAGAAUUUUUGAUGACCAUUUGAAAUCUUUCGUGUUUACCUGAAAUUAUACUAAUGUUACUAAUAAGAAAAGGUGUAGGUUUUUGGAGAAAUGGUUAAUUUGUAAAUGAAAUCAAAGAAAGAUCAAUAUAUUUGGGAGAGGGUGGCGAGGACUCAAUAUGCUAUUUUUUAAAAAGCACCAUGCAUUUAUAAAGGUGACACAGUCCUUUAGAGCCCGCUGUUCCAAUCCAUUGUGUAGCGAUACUGACAAAGACUGACAGCUCUUAGAAAGGUAUAAUGUUCCCAAGCCAAUUGCUAGCACAGCUCAAUGAGAUAAAGAUCAGUAAUUCGAUGGAGGUGAAAGGGCUAAACGUUGGAGGUUAAUCUGCUAUGUUCUUAUUACUAAUCAAACUUCCAGCAGUUUAUUCUAACAGUAUCAGAACCCCAUACCAAAAAAAAAAAAAAAAGUAUUACAAGGUCUAACAUCCUUAUUUGCUUUGAUGCUUUUUCAAGAUGCAUGCUUUUUCAAGAUCAUUUUAACUUGCCAACUACUAUCUUUUUAACUGACAUGUAUUAGCUUGAGUCUUUUCUGGGCAAGGGUUCUGAUGUAUUAAAUUUUUAUUUUGUUUUACUUUGGUGCUGGUAAUUUAAGCUUAAGCUAUGCUUAAGGUAUAGAAUUCUGUUGAGAAGUUAAUGGAGGGGAACACGGACCUCUUGUACAAGGAAACUUUGUUGGACGAGCACCAAUGGCAUAUCAAAAUGUAGGCCCCAGAGAUAGUAACAUUGCAGCUGUUUCUGUCCCAGAACCUCCACCAGCAGUUUCUUCCUGUAUCUUAACUUUCCUGUAGAUAGAAGCUUAUGAAAAGCAUCUUGUGAGUUCCAAGGUCUAUGUUACUU